AGCGUAGGCGGUUUCUUAAGUCUGAUGUGAAAGCCUUCGGCUUAACCGGAGAAGAGCAUAGGAAACUGGGAGACUUGAGUGCAGAAAAGGACAGUGGAACUCCAUGUGUAGCGGUGAAAUGCGUAGAUAUAUGGAAGAACACCAGUGGCGAAGGCGGCUGUCUGGUCUGUAACUGACGCUGAGGCUCGAAAGCAUGGGUAGCAAACA
rnacentral:rRNA from 1 species